CGAGCAUGCGCGGGCUGGGGCCACAGCGGCCCCUGGUGGCGGGCGAGCGUUCCCUGCCGGAGAGGCCAGAGUGAAGAUUACUGAUUUAUUAUAAAAGGACAUAACUCAGGAACAGUCAGAUGGAAGAGGUGCAAAGGACAAGGUAUGUGGGAAGGGGUAUGGAACUUCUCUGCCCUCUGAGCACAACCCACUCUCCCUAAAUAUCCAUGUGUUCCCCAACCAAGAAGCUCUCUAAACCCAGUGCUUUUGGGGUUUUAUGGAGGCUUCAUUACAGAGAGAUGAGUGAUCAAAUUAUCAGCCAUUGGCUGUUGAUGCACCUGCAGCCCCUCACACCUUCCCAGACGUUGAAGUGGGGCUGAAAGCUCUAACCUCUAAUCACAAAGUUGGUUCUCUAACCUCUGAUCACAAGGUUGGUUCUCCUGACAACCAGCCCCCAUCCUUAGGUGCUUUUCAAAUUACCGUAUUAACAUAAAGGAGCUCCCUAGGGUUUCCCAGGCCCUUGAUCCCCUCCCAGCUGGCUUCCUGGUUGUGACCAGUCAGGUCUGGAAUGUGGUUUCACUGGCCUUUCAUGGAAAAGAUCGUGCUCUGCUGAGCCUGUGUUCCAAGGGUGACCUAGCACCUCCCUGCCAACCCUGUUGAGGGCAGGGAGGAAACCACUCGAGGACAACAUGGGAUGGGGGGUGCAUUCCUCCAGCCUCACGUCACCCCAUCCCUUGGCCAGCAGAAAACAUGCUUCCCACCAGCACGACCCGCAGGAAGGGCCAGCAGACUGACCCCGAGCCACCUGGAGCCUUACCCGACCUUCCCAGCCCAGUGCCAAGCUCCGCCCACUUGGUUGAGCGGGGCUGCUGCUGCCACCAGGAACGGUUUAAAUGCGAUUUAACUCAAGUGAAGUCGAGUGAAACUUAGCUCCUUACUGCAUGGGCCACAGUGAAAUGUCCAGAGCCACACUCUGCUGGUGGCGGCCUCUGUGAACAGAGCAGGCAGCACCUCCCACUAUUCUAGAGUCUCCCAACCAGCAUGCUCCAGGCUCCCUCCAGGAAGCCUUUCCAGGACUCUGCAGCAGCCUGGCCAGUCUGACAGCAGGGCCACCUGCACCUAGGCCCUGCCUGGCUACUCCUCUGGUCCUCUCUCUGCGGCUUCUCGUGCCUACAAGUCUGGGUGGAGGGAACUGGAACUGGCCUCAGGGUGCCCUCAGAGAACCCCACUCACUGGCCUGGGUCCAGCUGGGGGCUUAGGUUGCUGCUAGAUCCCAUGCACAGCCUCCUCCCUCUGAGGCCACAGGUCCUGGAGCUGUCGGAUGGGUGAGGAUCUAAGUGCUAAAAAAUAAGCAGCCCUGGGGGUCCCAGACCCUGUUUCCCAGCUGGUGCCAGCCAGGGGUGGUUUCCUGUUAUUCUCUCCUCAUGGCCUCCUCCCUUCCCAAAGUCAGAAGAAGGAAGCUGCCCCCGUUCUGGUUACCCCCUUCCCUGCAGCGCUCCAUGAGCUCCCUGAGCAGCCGGUGAGUUGGCUCCAGCCGUGGAAACGGAUGAGAAUGAGACAAGGUCAUUCUGCCUGAUCCUGCUCCAGCCACUUUCCUGGCCUGUCCCUGCCCCUGUGCAGACCUGGGUGGGCCCCACACAGCCUGAGGACCCCAAGAGGCAGUGAAGCAGGGUUGGGAUGACCUCGGCUCCACACACCAGCCUGCUCCAGAGCAAAGAAGGCCUUCACCUGACUGGACAAGGCCCACCCUCACUGAGGCCCAUCUGCAGAUCCAGAAGCACCCUCACAGACACACCCAGGAUCAUGCUUGUUCUGGGCACCCCAGGACCCAGUCAAACUGACAUAAACGUGAGCCUCACUGGCUGUCUGGAGACUGAAUCACUUCUUUGGGAACCUGCCUUUGCCCUUAAGGGAGCAAAGAUUGGAUAAGGGCCACGCACACCAGGGAGGAGGGUCUGUUUUAUCAAAGUCCAUGGAUUGUUGAUGUUAAUUUCAUCUAAAAACACACGCCCACCCCAACAUCUAGACUGGUGUUGGACCAACACACUGCACACAGACUCACAGGCUGAGCCUACCUGACUUCGGUGUCACAGGCACACAGCAAACAGGCUUCCCAGCAGCCCCUGGGCAGACUCCUCCUCCUGGUGACCCGAAAGCCUCAAGCUGCAUCGGAGCCAGUUAGGAGUGGGAGGGCUGAGAUGAUGGACACUGGACAGGCCACACGGUAGAGGGGGAAUUGUGGACUGAUACCAGAGCUGUGGCAAAAGAAGGGGGCAGUGUCUGCACAGGCCCUGAGCUCACACGUGGUGGGGGGCUGUGCUGAGCUUCACACCUGGCUAGGGGGCUUGCAGAAACUAUUCCGUGUGCCCUUACAGUGUGACACUGGCCCAUUGAGAUGGAUCCUGCGGGCCUAUGACUCCUGUGAUAUGAAGUGACGUGCCUUCAGGGAUGGUGAUAAGAGUCAGUUGGCCAUUGCUGGGCAACUAUGCUCUAAGGAGGUCCGAACCACAUCAAGGGACCCCAGCAUGGACCCCCCAGCUCAGUGAGUGAGGAAAUCUUUAAGCCAGCCCUGGCCCCACCAGGAAGUCCAGGCUGCAACUACACCAGGGAAUCAACUCGAGUUAGAGAGGGUGAGAUCCUGAUGUCACUUUAUUCAUGAAGAGCCCAGAGAAUGAGGUCCUGACCCCUUGAGCAUGACCUAAAGCUCCCUCUCUGUGGGUGGGAGGAGG